UACGAAGGGGGCUAGCGUUGCCCGGAAUCACUGGGCGUAAAGGGUGCGUAGGCGGGUCUUUAAGUCAGGGGUGAAAUCCUGGAGCUCAACUUCAGAACUGCCUUUGAUACUGAAGAUCUUGAGUUCGGGAGAGGUGAGUGGAACUGCGAGUGUAGAGGUGAAAUUCGUAGAUAUUCGCAAGAACACCAGUGGCGAAGGCGGCUCACUGGCCCGAUACUGACGCUGAGGUGCGAAAGCGUGGGGAGCAAACAGG
rnacentral:rRNA from 1 species